CUCUCUCUCUCUCUGUGUUUCUUUUGUUUCUGAAUUUGAAAGGGUUCACGGAAGCGCGUGAGAACCAGAACUCUGAUUUCUACAUCUAGUGGCCAUUGUGAGAACUGGGAUGGCAGAAUCAAAGGGUGAUGUCUCUCGCAUUGUUUAUCCAUCUUAUUCAGCUUUCUAGGGAUUAUGUCGUCUAUAGAUAUCUCGUAUAUAGUAAUUUGAUGCUAAAAGCAUGAAAGCUUUCAAUUGACUGCUGUUGUGGCUUCUGAUUCCAGUGAUAAAUCAAAAGAGAAAUCAGGGGAUUAAAAGGUAAUAUGAUUUAAACAAUGUAUAUUCAGAUAAUUUCGUGGAUGUCACACCAGCUUGUUCAAAAUCGUGAAGCUGCCAGAAAAAGCUGAUUAAGGAAAAAAGCAUAUGUGCAACAACUUGAGAGUAGCCGGCUAAAGCUAAAUCAACUAGAACGAGAGCUCCGGUGAGCCCGCCAGCAGCUUCUUGUGAAUCAAUUGGAGCCUUAAACUGAGAUGCUCUGUUACUAGGCAUGGAGGCAUUGCUACAAUCCCUGGCUGAGACAUUGACCAAUGGCUCACCUGGCCGGUUAGGAUCAUCUGGGAAUGUAGCAAACUACAUAGGAAAGCUUGGAACACUCGAGGGAUUCCUUUGCCAGGCUAGAUUUGCAGUGCUAGGAUAAUCCUUACACAUGGUAGAAUAUUGCUUCUUGGGAUUGCUUUAAAAUUCUUUAGCUACUUUGAUAUUGUCAGUAAAAUAGUAGGAAAUCUAUAAGGAUAAUUUUUUUGAGGAAUACCCCUUGUGCAAUUAUAAAAUUUUAAUUCAUAUUCUUUGUCCAGUACUAGCCAAUUUGUGUUCCCAUAGCAUUAAGAUUAAAUGCACUUUGGUAUGUUUUUAGGUAUUUGGAACACGAGGAAUAAAGCAAAUCCUACAUGUGAUUGUUGUAUUCGUAUAUGUUCUUCAAAGCAUUAUGCAUUUAAUCUUGCUUGGGAAUUUUUAUGGGGGGUGGGGUGGGUCUGCAAAAAACAGAGUCUGGUUACUUUUCAUUAACUUCCCAUUAUGUAUUUAUUUGUUUUUUUAGAAAAGAGUCUAUAAAAACUUGGUCCUCUUUCUAGGUGAAAUAAAUCAUGCAUUUAAAAGGCUUGGUGCUAGUUUUGAUGCAACUUGUACAUAACUUGGUCUUCUUGUAACUGUUGAUGAGGCCAUUUUAUGUCACUUUUUCUUUUCUUUUCUUGCAAUUACCAGGUUGACAAUGUGCAUAAAAAAACACUAUAACAAUGCACCAUAUAUUGAUAACUAGGCAAUCAGCUCAUGCACUUCUUGCAAUAAAUGACUAUUCCUUUCGUCUUCAAGCCCUUAGUCUCCUCUGGCUUGUGCGGUCACGGAAAUGAGAAGCACAAAAUUUGUCUUGAUGAAGUUCUUUUGAAGACUGGCUCAACCCAUCCUAUCAAAGGAUCAUUAAGCAUUGAGUUCGCACUGGAUCAGUCAUGAUUCACCAUUAAGUGGAUUGCUGUCGAUCUUUAACCCCAAAUUCCUUUAGGGAUUGGGUUGUCAUGCAUUAGUCAUAUUGAUGAUGAAAUUGAAAGUUGCAAAUCUCUUUGUUAUUGAUUUGGUCUCCAUUUGCACUUCUAGUGUCACAUGUGUUUACCUAGGUCAUAUAUUCUCAUUUCUUAUGUUGUUGAUUUGGUCUCCAUAUGCACUUCUAGUGUCACAUAUGUUUACCUAUGUCGUUUAUUCUCAUUUCUUAUGUUUAAACUAUAGUUCUAAUAAUCUGAUUAUGCUAGAUGUUUAAUAGAACCAUGAAGGACAAUAGGAUAGUAUUUGUAAUGUAGGUUACAGUAAUCAGUUUGUAUACCAAAAUUAGAUUAUAUAUUGGUGAAAGAAUUCAUUUUUGGUGUUUGGAUUAAUUCAUAUUCAACAUGUAAUAUGUUUUUAUGCACAAUUUCAUUGGCUAUGAGAAUUCUGUAGGCUGGUUGUAUC